rnacentral:lncRNA from 1 species
CUAGCCUGGGAAUUUCCAUAUGCUGUAGGUGUGGCCAUAAAAAGCAAAAAACAAAACAAAACAACCCCCAAACAAACAAAAACCCCCAGUCCCCCCCAAACAAAAAAUAACAAAAACAAAAACAAAGAGUGUGCAAAGCAGCAGAAUGGCUGUAAAGAUGUAAAAUGAGGACCACUGUAAGACCUCCCAGCCUAUUUAAAUUCUCCGCGUUCAUACAGCGGCAUCACCUUUACAUUUCUCAUAAUUCAAGACUUUCAUUCUCCCCGUGGGUUCCCCUUUAAAAAUGCUAGAUUCACGUUCAGCUCAGCCUUGUUAGCUGUUCUUAGUCAUUGUUUCUCUCAUGUGCUUUGGGAAACACAGGGGUGAGUGAGAAUGACAGUUUGCUGUCAAGGAAAGCACCCCCAGAGGAGGUGACAUGUAUGCUGGGACUGAAAAGACAAGUUGGGAGUUAGCCAGACAGAGAGGUGAUGGGAGGUCACCCCAGACAUGAGGAAGGACGGUGUUUUCAAAAGUUGAGAGGCAGGAAAUGGUGUGGCAUCUUUGGUGAGCCAACUGUGUUUUGCUGCAGUUUGAAAGGAGUUCUGUGUGUGUGUGUGUGUGUGUGUGUGUGGUGUGUGUGUGUGUGUGAGAGAGAGAGAGAGAGAGAGAGACAGGGGUGGAGGGCAGGAGGGGAUGGUGGUGCCCAUGGAAGACUCGGGGACACACAGAGAGGUUUAGAUUUUUCCUGCAGGUGCUGGGGAGCCAUCGAAGGUGCUAAAGGAGGAUCGAGGUGUGAUCAGAAGCAGAUUUCCCUUCUUCCUCUUUCCCCUGGUCCCCAGCCUGAGGUCAUUGUCUCUAUAAGGAAAGGAUGACAACAAUGAUUUGACUUCCACAGCCACGGUGCUCAUUACUUAGAGAACUGCAGCCCCUCGUGGCCCCUGGAGGACCUGUCCCGCAGCAUCUCUGGGGAGCUGAGGGCAUCAUUGGCGUCUCAGAGCCUCAGGGACUGGGAUGAUGUCAUGCUGUCUGUGAUUUGAGUCCUUUCCUGGGGACAGCGUUCACUGGGCCUAUUACUAGUCAGCCUCGCUCCAGGCAGGGAGAGCAUGCCUAUGGGCCGAGGCAGGCCAAGGAUGAUGAUAUUUAGGCUGAGAUGAUGCCCAGGGGCUGCCAGAGCCCUGAGCAAUCAGCUAGGGAGGCUCCCACUCAUCAGAAGGCAACUGCAAAUAGAAAGGCCAGAAGCGGGGGUGGCAUGGGAGGCGCCACGAAGAACCGUCCAAAGUGCUCCAUGGGAAAAGACUCUGAACACCCUCGAGGCCCAGAGGAUGCAGAGGUCAUAAGGAUGCACCCAAUGCAUCCUUACGACUGAGGCAUGCACGGAAGAUCCUUCUUCCCCCAGUCCCCUCCUUCAUCCCAUGCUAGCAGGAGAGGAAGAAAGCAAGGCAGAGGGGUGGGGAAGGAGCUGACCCCAGUCCCAGACACCCCCGGAGUGGGCAGGAAGUAGGAACUUCUAACAAAAUUGGAAAAUUUGGUGGAACAUACUCAUUAUGGAAUUAAGGCUGCUUUGGGAGCCAAGAAGAGUGUGAGCAGGAAAGGCACGGGAUUUGCCAGGGUUUUCAUCUGGGAAUGACUGGUUGCCUCUCAUCAGUCUUGCUUGUUCAAAUUCAUGAUGACUUUACGCUUAGAAUUCACGGAGUACACUGCAAGGUCACCCCGGUGCCUUACACAUGCUGACCUCUUGGCCUGAAAUGUCCUCCCUGCCUUGUCCUGUAGCAAAAACUGUUCCCACCCUGAUGCAAGGCAAUCAUUGUCUCCUUUCAGGAUCCCUGUUGAAACUCCCUCUACUUGCUCUUGCUUUCCUUUGUAGAGAGAAGGGCUGCCCCUGUUUUAUCACAGGAGGACAGUACCUACCAGGGCUCUAGCUUUGGGGGAAGAUGCUAUUCUCCUCUCUUUCUGUAUGUGUGUGUGUGUGAGUGUGUGUGUGUGUGUGUGUGUGUGUGUAUGUAUGUAUGUGUAUAUAUGUAUGUAUAUAUACUUAUGCAUGUAUAUAUAUAUAUAUACAUGUGCAGUACAUACAUUUAUAUACACAUGAUAUAUAUAUCAUAUAUAAAUGUAUGUAUAUAUGCAUGAAUAGUAUAGUUUAUAUAUACACAUGUAUAUAGUGUUUACAUAUAUAGUUUUUUAAAAAAUCAGCUUUAUUGAUACAUAAUUUACCAAAAAUAAAACAUUAAAUUUGAUGAGUUUUGACAGACACAUAAACGCAUGCAAUCCCGACCACAGUCAAGAAAUGGAACACCUCCAUCACCCCAGAGUUCCCCUCUGCCCUUCCCCAGAAAGCCCUCCUCCCCCUGCCCAGCCCCAGGCACCCCCGAUCUGCUUUUUGUCACUGCAGAUUGAGUUUGGUCUUUCCGAGAGCUUUGUAUAAAUGGAAUCAUACAUGGCAAUUCAAGGAAAAUCUGUCUGGAUAGGAAAAAGCCAAUUUCUUUCUAGAAAAUAAGAAAACGAAUUUAAAAUGUGAAUUGUAUCCUUCUAACAAGCAAACCAAGAUUCCUUCUUCCUAGAAAGCAAACACACUGAAGUGUAAUCGUUUUGACUCUGUAUUGCAAUUAGCUCAGACUCUCUCCACCUCCUCCUCCCUCAUCACCCUGCCUUCAAUUUUUCUGUCUCCAUUUCCUUUGGUGUCUUAUUUAUUUUUCCGGAAUAUGAAAACGUUAUUGGCAUUCUGCUUAUGAGUAUUUUCAAUUUCCUUGAAUUUUUGGAGACAAAUUGAUUUUUCGUGGGCUAAUAUAUCUUCAGGAUGACUUUGCUUGAAUUUGGCCUGUUCAUUGAUCUAAAAUGGUUUUGAAGCUUUGGGCAGAAGGCGACAGCUCCUAAACUACAUGGUGAAUGAGAGUCUCUGGGGCUUUUUGUCAUUGUGGCAGGAUUGUGUGCAUUUCUUCCUAUUCCCUACUGUCCCUUAAAUCUAAAUUCUGUAGGGGAGGGGCAAGUUGGCCAUUUCCCCAGUGUUCUCUCUGCACCCCUGAGUAGAGCAAGGAAAACGGUCCAGGAUAACCACAGAGUAAUUCCCGAUACCUGGUUUCAGCACCUUCCACAGGCAGAAAUAUGCAGCAGACAGAACUGGGCAGCAGGCUUCCUGUGACCUUGGCUGAGGGGCACGUGGUCCCCUCAUCUCCCAGCCCCCAGUCCUUUGGACACAUCACUUCUUAGCUCCCUAUUCUGAUAUCAGCUAGAGGAGGCAUCUUCCUGGGGGUGUAGCACCCUCCUUCCCCCCAGAUUCUACACUGGAGAAGGGGAUAGUUCCAGUGCUAGAGGCCAAGAGAUGCAUAAGGCAAAUAUCCUUUUCAUCCCCAGCUUUUCUUUUCUUUUUUUUUCCUAACCUGCUUUAAGCAUUUUGUCCUUGACGGUUAUCUAUUGUUCAAAACAAUUUUGCAGUGAGUGCAAUAUUGCUGGUCGAUUAUGAGUCAUGAACCAUGGCGGGGCACCCAUGUGGGAUGUCUGCUCUGCUUGCCAUGUGCCUGACUCAGAACAGUAGCCUUUCUCCAUCUAGAUUCACACUUCGCAACCCAGCCCCUGGCCCGAACCCUUGACAUCAGAGGCACACACCUGACUGAAAUUGGGCCAGAUGGAUUCUCUUGCCUGGACCUCUGAAAUUGGGAUUGAAAGAGGGCUGGUCUAUCUCUCCGUCAUGCUCGCAAACAUGGGAUGGCCAGUGCUCAGAAAGCAGAGUCUGUCAUUGGGAUGGAAGGACAUAACCUUGUAGGUCGAUGCAGAUGUGGACAUGCGUGACCAUGUGAAGACAAGGGCAGGAGGCGCAGCCACACCCAGAAAGAAGGAGAGAGGCUGGGAGAGAGGGGGGUAGGGGGAGAGAAACUGGCUGCCCAGAUUCUGUUAGUCUCCAGUUCCUAGUUCCAGUCCAGCUGUCCUUUUGUGUUGGUUUCCAAGUGACAGCCCGGUAAACUUGAAUGAACUUCCUGUUUUUGCCUAAGGUAAUUUGGAGUAAUUUCCUGUUAAUUUGCAGCCAAAAGACUCUGAAUAAGAUGCAACCUAAUACCAGGAAAUGAAGUUACGCAUAAUCACCUAGCUGGCCCAUUCCAGGGUUUGGGAAUAAUAAGGAUUCCUUCAUCUCAGAACUCAGAGGACUAUUAGUGGAAUAGAGACAAAAAGAGCCAGUGAAUAAGUGUCCAUUGUUUUGGGACUUGGAUAAUUUUCCUUCUGAGACUGGGACUUUAGGAGGCUCCAAAGGCCACCUUGAAGGAGGUCUCGACAGUGCUGGCAACUCCCUGGAAUUUCAGUAAAGGUGAACCAGACAUGAACCAGUCUGCCUGGUUUAAUGUGGAGGAAAACGGUCAGUUAUGUAACUCUGCUCCCAGAAGUUCUUGCUGCUUCUAGUCUAGGACCUGAGACCACUUCCGGCCAUUUUCAAAAUUCAAAAUGAGACUUACUGAGCUGCAGGACUGAACACUCCGUGUGGCAACCUCCAUUGAGAACUAAACAUGGUGACUCACUGAUGAAAUAGUGACAUCCCAGCACUUGGAAAGAGGACAUCCAGGAUGCGCCAGGGGUGUUGGGGAAUCCCGACCCUUCAGUGCUUCUCCCAAGUCUGUCUGUGGUGCCCUCUUGCUGGACAGAGGCACCUCAGGACAGGUUUGGGAUGCUCUGUUGAGCUAACGGGGUGAAGCAGGCUCUCUGCUGCCCUCUACACCCUAAGGUGAAAUCCAUUAAGCAGAGAACAGGAGCACACCCCUCAGGCGUCUUUCUAAGAAACUGAAGCCCCUCUGGCAGGGCCCCUGACCAGGCUGCCUAGAAAAGGCUUCUAGCAAAUUGAAUCUCUCUAACUUAAGAUCUUAAAGACAUUACACUGCCAGAAAACUUCAAGCCUGGAGAAUAGAAUUUCAGAGGGCCAUAAAUCCACACUGCAGGGCUUUUUCGUCCCCCAGGCAGUCCAGGCUCAAGCUCAGAGGCUGCCAGCUCCAUUCAGAAGGUGUCACAUGCCCCACAGCCAACUCCCCCACCCCGAUCUCCUUCCAGGGGUGGCCCUGGAGGACCCAGGAUGAGGGCCAUGUUCCCAGUUGGGGUGGGGGGCAGAAACCAGGUCAGCUCUACUGGAGAACCAAGGAGCUCCUCCUGCAGGUGUUACCAAUUUCAUCAGAUACCCAGUGACAGCUGGGCUGCUGUCAUGGAGGGCCCUCACCUUCAUUUUCAAGCGAGGGCUUUGUGGUCAUUGUCUGGUCUCUCUUGCUGAGUUCUGUAUCAGAUGGGCCAUAAAUGGCAGAUUUUGUCAUCUUCUCUCUAGACUGAAUUGAUUUGGGAUUGACUUGGAGAAGGGAAUGUUGUCUGGGAUUAGGGCCCCGAUGGAGGUGAAGGUAUUGACUUUGGCAAGCGCGUUCUUGCUGUGUGGCCCCCUGCCAUGGGGUGAGGCAGGACUCCAGCCCCAGACAGGCCCGGGUGAUUUUGUCUUCCUGGGAAUUUUGAAUCAGAUCAACGAGGGAGCUCAUGGAUUUCUCUGUGCAUUCCAAUGACGACACCAGCAUGGCUAGAAGGCAAUGGGGCCCCUCGUGGCUACGAGGCAGCCCUGUUCACGGAGCAGCAAAGACAGUGGUCUACAAAGAGAGAAGGAAGCGGCUCUACAAAGAGGGGGAGAGAGACAAAGACAGAGGCAGGAAGUCAGAGAGAGACAGAGGGAUGGAGCCAGAGAUGGAUUUGUGAUUGCUUUCCUGAGUUUUGUUUCUUGGGAAGAGGUGUUGCGCUCUUUGUUUUGGGCUCCAUGAAAUACCCCUGACCCUCACUCUGCCUUAAAAACAAACUUUUUGCUUUAGAAUAAUCAUAGAUCCAGAGGAAGUUGCAAAGAUAGGACGGAGAAGACUAUGUACCCAUCACUGUUUCUUUUAUUUUUCUUUUCAGGGCCACACCCUUGGCAUAUGGAGGUUCCCAGGCUAGGGGUCAACUUAGAGCUGCGGCUGCUGGCCUACAUCACAGCCACAGCAACGUGGAUCUGAGCCCCAUCUGCAACCUACACCACAGCUCAUGGUGACGCCGGAUCCCUGACCCGCUGAACAAGGCCAGGAAUCGAACCCACAUCCUCAUGGAUCCUAGUCAGAUUCAUUUCUGCUGCUCCACAAUGGGAACUCCCCCCAUCACUGUUUUACCCAUGGUUACAAUUUACACAACUCUGGUAAACGAUCAUGGCGGACAUUGAUGUUAGUUAUGUGUGUUGUUUUAUCACAUGUAUGGGUUUGUGCAGUCAAGAAAUAGAACUGUGCGGCCCAUAAUGCCCUUACUGCUACCUCUAUGUACAGUCAUCCCUGCUCUGGCCGCUCCUAAUUCCUGGCAAAUAGCAAUCUGUUUUUCAUCUUUAUAAUUCCUUCAUUUUGAGAAUAUUCUGUAAGUGGAAUCACACAGUUGAUGACUUUUUGAGACCGGCUUUUUCCCCUCAGUGUCAUUCCUUUGAGAUCCAUCCAUCCAAGUUGCUGUGGUGUAUCCCUGGUCCGAUCACUGUUAUUGAUGACUAAUAUCCCAGGCAGGGAUGGACCAGGGUUUGUUUAACUGUUCACCCGUGGGGACAUUACGAUUGUUUCCAGUUUGGGGCUAUUAUAAAUAAAGCUGCUGUGAGCACUUGUGUAUGGGUUUUUGUGUGAACAUGUAUUCAUUUCUCUGGGAACAAUGCCAGGAGUGCAAUUAUGGUGAGUGUAUGUUUUGUUUUUUUUUUUUUUUUUUUUUUUUUUUUUUAAGAAACUGACUAUUUUCUGGAGUGACUGUACCAUUUGCACUCACACCAGCUAUGUAUGAGAGUUCCAGUUUCUCUGCAUGCUCCCCAGCAUUUGGUUUGUCAUUUCUUAUUUUAGCUGUUCUAAUAGGAAUAGACUGAUAUCGCACGGUGGUCUUAAAUUGCAUUUCUUCUGUUGCUAGCAAUGUUGAACAUUGUUCAUGUUAUGUUUGUUGUCUGUAUGUCCUAACUGAUAAAUGUCUUUUCAUGUUUUUUGCCCAUUUUCUAACGGCAUGUGUGUCUGCGUAUUUAGUAUCAAGUUCUAAUACAAAUUAUAUUUUUU